GGGGGGGGGGGGGGGGGGGGGGGGGGGGGGGGGGGGGGGCGGGGGGGGGGGGGGCUUGCUCCUGUGGCGUGGGCGGCGGGCGGGUGGGGGACCGGUGGCUAACCUGCCUAUCGGACCGGGAUAGCUUCCGGGCACCCGAGCUCCGACCGGCUCCUCUAUGGACCCUCAUGGUGCAAUCGUGCCAGACUGGUUUGCUGGCACUUAUCCCUCGCUCCGCCACGCAGUAGCUGGUUGGUAAUGUAACGUCUUAGCAAGGCAACGAUGCGUAGCCGACCGGAGAGGGGGAGCGGCCACACUGGAACUGAGAAACGGUCCAGACUCCGACGGGAGGCAGCAGUAGGGAAUCUUCCGCAAUGGGCGAAAGCCUGACGGAGCAACGCCGCGUGAGUGAUGAAGGUCUUCGGAUCGUAAAACUCUGUGAUUAGGGAAGAACAAAUGUGUAAGUAACUAGGCACGUCUGGACGGUACCUAAGCAGAAAGCCACGGCUAACUACGUG
rnacentral:rRNA from 1 species